rnacentral:rRNA from 1 species
ACCUGGGCUCGAACGUAAGAUGACUGUAGGUGAAAGCUUACAUCUCUUCGGAGCAUUUUACGUAGGUGCUGCAUGGUUGUCGUCAGCUCGUGCCGUGAGGUGUCGGGUUAAGUCCCAUAACGAGCGCAACCCCUACCUUUAGUUGCCAUCAGGUUAAGCUGGGGACUCUAAAGGAACUGCCUACGCAAGUAGUGAGGAAGCGGGGAUGACGUCAAAUCAGCACGGCCCUUACGUCCAGGGCUACACACGUGCUACAAUGGCCGAUACAGAGGGCAGCUACCUGGUGACAGGAUGCAAAUCUCCAAAGUCGGUCUCAGUUCGGAUCGGAGUCUGCAACCCGACUCCGUGAAGUUGGAAUCGCUAGUAAUCGCGCAUCAGCCAUGGCGCGGUGAAUACGUUCCCGGGCCUU